CAAGGGCAUGGUCUGAAAUAGUCCACCGUGUAUUACAGCCUGGAGAGGGAUGCUGCUGCCUUACGUGCCCAUUACAGUGUAUUCUAAUGGAUAACCAAACUCAACAGUCAUGGCUGUUCUCUUCACCCCUCUCUCUCCCUUGCCAAAGUGCCAAAUGCCUUGUCUGCCCAUCCAUCAUGCAGGGAGGCAGAUGAUUGGCCGUCUCG